rnacentral:rRNA from 1 species
GAUGAACGCUAGCGACAGGCUUAACACAUGCAAGUCGAGGGGCAGCAUAAAAGUAGCAAUACUUUGGUGGCGACCGGCGCACGGGUGAGUAACGCGUAUGCAACCUACCUAUCAGAGGGGAAUAACCCGGCGAAGGUCGGACUAAUACCGCAUAAAACAGGGGCACCGCAUGGUGAUAUUUGUUAAAGAAAUUCGCUGAUAGAUGGGCAUGCGUUCCAUUAGGUAGUUGGUGAGGUAACGGCUCACCAAGCCGACGAUGGAUAGGGGAACUGAGAGGUUGGUCCCCCACACUGGUACUGAGACACGGACCAGACUCCUACGGGAGGCAGCAGUGAGGAAUAUUGGUCAAUGGGCGGGAGCCUGAACCAGCCAAGUCGCGUGAAGGAAGAAGGAUCUAUGGUUCGUAAACUUCUUUUGCAGGGGAAUAAAGUGCAGGACGUGUCCUGUUCUGUAUGUACCCUGAGAAUAAGGAUCGGCUAACUCCGUGCCAGCCGCCGCUGUAA